rnacentral:lncRNA from 1 species
UGCUAAAGAAGUAACAUUGUAAGCAAAAGGAACAAUGCUAGUGAAUCGCACAAGGCCACACACAGCUUCACUAGACUUUAAUAUGAACAAUGAACAAAAAAUAACAACAAUAAUGAAUCGCACAAGGCCCCACACGGCUUCACUAUGUCUACAUACCUUUGAUAUCUUCCUUAAUUUCUUGAUAUUUCAAAAUAGCUACUUCAAUCUACUUAUAGAUUUCCUCACAGAAAGCUGCAAUAUCGAAAAUGAUGAGCUUAACAAAUUAAAAGAUAGACUACUACAAUUUUAUCCAAAAAACCCAUCUACUCUAUGUAAGAUAUUACUCACAUCUCAAACAUUGCAUUCAAAAGAUACAAUAGGUUCAAGGUAUCACACACUAUCCGGUCAAAAAUUCCAAGCUUUUUUCGUUGAAAAAAAAAACACUUGACCAUACUAGUAAACCAAAACUAAAACUGAGUAUAAAUGAGUGAGAGCAAUUUAAACAACUUAGUAAACCAAAAAAAUCUAUUAAUCAGUGUGAUAUUUUUCCAUACUACAUUCAAGUUUAUCCCCAAUUUCCCCAUUUUCAAUCAAAACAUAAGAACUAGGGUUUCAAAAAUCAAAAUAUAGUGAAGUUAACUCAAAAUAAAGUCAACAAAUCUCACAUUCUUACUUUCUUGAAUUGGAGAAAGUAAGAUUUGGUACGAAAACGCAAUUGUUCACUGAUUUCGAGUAUCAAAGUAUGUGUUUUUGUGUGUCUACAUACGAGCAGUUUGUGCAUAUGUGUUGUUGUUUCCCGUUUCUUUUGGGUAUAUGUUUGGGAAGUUUAUUCAUUUGGGUGGGU